AUGAUCUGGCAUGUACAGAAUGAAAACUUCAUUCUCGAUUCUACGAGAAUUUUUAUGAAAGCGUUUCAUUUGCUUCUCUUCAAUGAAAGUUUCAUUUUCCCAGAAUGUAUCCUAAUUUUUGGCCUAAUUCUUCUUCUGAUGAUCGAUUCAACCUCUGAUCAAAAAGAUAGACCUUGGUUCUAUUUCAUCUCUUCAACAAGUUUAGUAAUAAGCAUAACGGCCCUAUUGUUCCGAUGUGAGACAAUUGAAAAUUGUGUUUACUUGUUCUGGAAUCCUUUAUCUUUGAUUUGUGAAAUCCUUGGGUUUAGACAUUACUUCGGGAAUUCCUAUUUUUUUCUUUCAAAAGAGUAG
rnacentral:rRNA from 1 species